rnacentral:rRNA from 1 species
UACGUAUGGGGCGAAGCGUUAUCCGGAAUUAUUGGGCGUAAAGAGUGCGUAGGUGGUUACCUAAGCGCAAGGUUUAAUCUUGAGGCUCAACCUCAUUCUGCCUUGCGAACUGGGCUACUUGAGUGCUGGAGGGGAAAGCGGAAUUCCCAGUGUAGCGGUGAAAUGCGUAGAUAUUGGGAAGAACACCGGUGGCGAAGGCGGCUUUCUGGACAGUAACUGACACUGAGGCACGAAAGCGUGGGGAGCAAACAGGAUUAGAUACCCCUGUAGUCCCU